UACGUAGGGUGCGAGCGUUGUCCGGAUUUAUUGGGCGUAAAGAGCUCGUAGGCGGUUUGUCACGUCUGCUGUGAAAUCCCGAGGCUCAACCUCGGGCCUGCAGUGGGUACGGGCAGACUGGAGUGCGGUAGGGGAGAAUGGAAUUCCUGGUGUAGCGGUGGAAUGCGCAGAUAUCAGGAGGAACACCGAUGGCGAAGGCAGUUCUCUGGGCCGUAACUGACGCUGAGGAGCGAAAGCGUGGGGAGCGAACAGG
rnacentral:rRNA from 1 species